rnacentral:rRNA from 1 species
UACAGAGGGCGCGAGCGUUGUUCGGAAUUACUGGGCGUAAAGCGCACGUAGGCGGAUCAGUAAGUUAGGGGUGAAAGCCCCGGGCUCAACCCGGGAAGUGCACUUGAUACUGUUAAGCUUGAGUAUGGGAGAGGGUCGUGGAAUUCCUGGUGUAGUGGUGAAAUACGUAGAUAUCAGGAGGAACACCGGUGGCGAAAGCGGCGCGCUGGAUCCCUUCUGACGCUGAGGCGCGAAAGCCAGGGAGCAAACGGG